UACGUAGGGGGCGAGCGUUAUCCGGAUUUAUUGGGCGUAAAGCGUGUGUAGGCGGUUUGUUAAGUCUAAAAUAAAAGCCUGGGGCUUAACCCCAGUUCGUUUUAGAAACUGGCAGACUUGAGUGUGGUAGAGGCAAGUGGAAUUUCUAGUGUAGCGGUUAAAUGCGUAGAUAUUAGAAGGAACACCAGUGGCGAAGGCGGCUUGCUGGGCCAUUACUGACGCUGAGACACGAAAGCGUGG
rnacentral:rRNA from 1 species